rnacentral:sRNA from 1 species
UUUCUAGUAAGAUUCAACAUUAUGAAAAUAUUUUGAAUUAAGCAAUGACACAUGAGGCUGGAAAAACUGGUCUACUUCCUGGAUUGUUCUUUCUAGUCGAAAAAUUGAAUUUUACAAAGAAUCCAAGCAACAGGCUCUGUCCAAUAUGAAAACUGGGCACAAACCAGAAAGUGUGGAUUUGUGUGGAGCACACAUUGAAUGGGCCAAGGAAAAAUCGAGCAGAAAGAAUGUCUUUCAGAUCACAACAGUAUCAGGAAAUGAGUUCCUUCUACAGUCAGAUAUUGACUUCAUCAUAUUGGAUUGGUUCCACGCUAUCAAAAAUGCAAUUGACAGAUUG